UACGUAGGGGGCGAGCGUUAUCCGGAUUCAUUGGGCGUAAAGCGCGCGUAGGCGGCCGCCUAAGCGGAACCUCUAACCCCGGGGCUCAACCUCGGGCCGGGUUCCGGACUGGGCGGCUCGAGUGCGGUAGAGGAGAGCGGAAUUCCCGGUGUAGCGGUGGAAUGCGCAGAUAUCGGGAAGAACACCGAUGGCGAAGGCAGCUCUCUGGCCUGUAACUGACACUGAGGCUCGAAAGCGUGGGGAGCAAACAGG
rnacentral:rRNA from 1 species